UACGUAGGGUGCAAGCGUUAAUCGGAAUUACUGGGCGUAAAGUGUGCGCAGGCGGCACCGCAAGUCGAGUGUGAAAGCCCCGGGCUUAACUUGGGAAUUGCGCUCGAAACUAUGGUGCUGGAGUGUGGCAGAGGAAGGUGGAAUUCCACGUGUAGCGGUGAAAUGCGUAGAGAUGUGGAGGAACACCGAUGGCGAAGGCAGCCUUCUGGGCCAACACUGACGCUCAUGCACGAAAGCGUGGGGAGCAAACAGG
rnacentral:rRNA from 1 species